rnacentral:tmRNA from 1 species
GGGGUCGACCUGGUUUCGACAGGGGUUGCAAAGCAGAGCAGGGCAUACCGAGGCCAGACUACCUCGUAAAUACAAUCUGAAAUAUAUAACUGCAAACGAUAACUCGUACGCAUUAGCAGCUUAAUUGCUCGCUAGCUCUUAACCGCUUCUUCCCUAGGGCGGGCUGGUAACAGCUUAGAGUCAUUUAUAGGGAAUCGUCUCAAGUUGGGUUACUUAGCUUUGGACUAAAUAAUAGGUAACUCGUUUUGCCGCAGCGUGUGCGUCCGCGUCGUCAAGAUUAAAUUAAAUGGCAGCACUAAGUAUGUAGAACUGUCUGUAGAGUGCUCUUGGACGCGGGUUCGAUUCCCGCCGACUCCACCA